CCUGCCCCUUGAGGCGUUGCAGCUCAACUGGAUGUGUUGCAGCUGCGUCAUGAGGCGGCAGAGAGAAACCGCUGGUGGUCUGCACCGGGACUCUAGAACUCGGUGGGAACUCGGAGUCGAUAUCACCAUCAACACU